rnacentral:misc_RNA from 1 species
CCCUUUCCUCUAUUUUCUUCCCCCUUUCCGUUGCUUUUCUGAUUGGUUGUGACCAAGUCACAACAACUUUAACGUAGGAUCUCUAUGGAAUAAACACAGGUAGCACCUUGGCUGCAUAAUAUUUAUAUUUUUGGUGCAAGAGGAGUGCGCUACAGCUUGAACCUAGGAUCUCUACCCACACCUCACCACUCUACCCCCUGCACUGGCCACAGGUGGCAUCUUGGCAAUAUGUUAUACAUAUAUAACUAUGGCUUGAACCUAGGAUCUCACCCACAUCUCAGCCACCUCCAACCUCGGCAAGGCGCAGGUGGCAACUUGGCAAUAAUGUUCUUCUUGUUCUGCAAUCUUAAAUAGAAGGGAUUAUUUGUGCAUACUGUCUGAAGUUACUGCACUGUAGCUUUCUCUAGAUUAAUGCCUUAUGUAGGAGACAUCUAUCAAGAAGAUUGUUGGAUUGGAUAUGACAAUGACGUCUAUGCUCCACUGAUUCUGUCUUAUUUAAUAGAAUGCCUUACUGCACCCAUUUUUCUUUUGCAAUAGGCUCAUCUUCCUAAAAUAUCAGGAUUAUUAUUGUUUUCAUCUCUGUGUUAUAUUCUUUGGGUAUGACAUUGAUGUCUAUAUGUAAAAGAUUUUCAGCUUCUCUUUCUUUGAGGUCUUAUGAAGAGUCUUCUAUUUUCACAGGUUGAUAGAAGGUACAGACAGUAUUAUCAUCAGAUGCAGAUUGUGGUGUCAUCAUUUGAUGUGAUAGCGGGAUGUGGGGCAGCUAAACCAUACUCGGCACUUGCCCUCCAGACUAUAUCCCGCCACUUUCGG